rnacentral:lncRNA from 1 species
AUGAAGAAACUUGGACUUCUCCCUGCUUCACAGAUGGGUUAUGAGGCACUCCAAAGAAAGCGGCAUUCUAAGAAGUAUUAUGACCAUCUCCUUGGAAACCACGUGGCAUCACUUUACCACAUUCUUUUGGUCACAAGGAGAAGGAAUUAUAUACCAGCUGUUUUUGGAGGCAUGUGUCAGGCUGGAAUGCACUGGCACAAUCAUGGCUCACUGCUGCCAUGGACUCAUUCCUGGGCUCAAGUCAUCCUCCCACCUCAGCCUUCUGAGCAGCAAGGACUACAGAUGGUGGUUUUUCCAUGAGAAUGAAAUGUAAUGGCAAUGAGCAAAGUGAGUGCCCAGCCAACCAGAGAUUGACAGGUAAUAUAAGUGAGGUAUAAACCACUUUUGUUUUAAGCCAGUGAUAUUUGGUAAUAUUAACACAGUUUAAUCUGACCCAUUCUCACCUAUACCCACAACUAUGAGAAAUGAUAAGCAAAGUCAACCUAGCAGUGAUUAUAAAUAACAUUAUUUUCUUUCCCUAAGUUUUGACCCUGAAGAAUGAUAAUCUAAAACUCAAUCCUAUCUUCAUUACAGAUUUAAACCUCUGGAAAGGGUUAAUUAAAUUGUGUUGGCUGGGCAUGGUUACUUACAUCUGUAAUCCUAGCACUUUGUGAGGCCAAUUCAGGUGGAUCACUUGAGGCCUGGCCAACAUGGUGAAACUCCAUCUCUACUGAAAAUACAAAAAUUAGCUGGAUGUGGUGGCAUGUGCCUGUAAUCCCAGCUCUUGGGAGACUGAGGCAUGAGAAUCACUUGAACUUGGCAGUCAGAAUUUGCAGUAAGCUGAGAUUGUACCACUGCACUCCAGCCUGGGCAACAGAGUGAGACUCUAUCCUAAAAAGUAAUAAUAAUUUUUGAAAAUGGUGUUUACUGCAGUUCACAGUGAAAAAUGUAAAUUGCAUCUCAUUCAAAUGGACCCAGAAUAAAGAUAGCUCUAAAAUCGCCUCAUUCUGUAUAUUGCUAAUGACUACUGAAAGGUGUGGAAAUAUGAUCAAUACCUCCAAAUGAAACAUUUCAAGCAUUCAGGGAAGAGUGCUAUUUAAGGUGAAUAUCAGUAUUACUGGAUUUUUACAUUUAACGUAGAAUGAGUGUGGUGGGAUACAGGAUUGCCCAUCUUUCUUCCAGCAGCAC